UAGGGAAUCUUCGGCAAUGGACGAAAGUCUGACCGAGCAACGCCGCGUGAGUGAAGAAGGUUUUCGGAUCGUAAAACUCUGUUGUUAGAGAAGAACAAGGACGUUAGUAACUGAACGUCCCCUGACGGUAUCUAACCAGAAAGCCACGGCUAACUACGUGCCAGCAGCCGCGGUAAUACGUAGGUGUCAAGCGUUGUCCGGAUUUAUUGGGCGUAAAGCGAGCGCAGGCGGUUUCUUAAGUCUGAUGUGAAAUCCCCCGGCUCAACCGGGGAGGGUCAUUGGAAACUGGGAGGCUUGAGUGCAGAAGAGGAGAGUGGAAUUCCAUGUGUAGAGGUGAAAUGCGUAGAUAUAUGGAGGAACACCAGUGGAGAAGGCGGCUAACUGGUCUGUAACUGAAGCUGAGGCUCGAAAGCGUGGGGAGCAAACAGG
rnacentral:rRNA from 1 species